UCUUUUCCAUCCACAGAUUCCCAUCUUCGGAAUAGCAAGGCUUCGUAAACUUCUAAAGAAUCCCAAAUUUUCCAGAAAAACUUCGCUCCAGAAGAAAGAGCAGAAACUUCUUCCUAAGUUGCUUUAUUUCCAUCCUGCUUACGUUUUCUAAUAAAGUUAAUAUCCUCAUCUUCUUCUUGUGAAACAAUCCAUUCGUCCAAAUCCAUUGGUUUACAAAUAGUCCUGAAAACAUGAUAUUCCUCUUCAUUAUCCUUUUCUUCCAGACGAGUACAACGUUUGCAUUGCGAAGUUUCACAGGAUCUCCUUGAAAAACCAUCCGCAUUACCAUGCAAUUUCCCUUUACGAUGUUUUAUUUCAAAAUCAUAUUGUUGUAAGCGUUCUAUCCAUCUUGCGGUUUGCCCCUCUGGAUUUUUAAACGAGAGCAGCCGCCUCAAAGAGGCGUGAUCUGUUCGUACCAGGAAUUUUCCAGGAAUGAUGGAAAUGUUCUAUAGACUUCACGAUGGCCAACAACUCUCUCCUAGUGACACAGUAAUUCCUUUCAGCUUUUCCAAACAUCUUAGAAAAAUAAGCGACAACCCUUUCUCGUUCAUCCUGAACCUGAGAAAGGACUGCUCCAAUUGCAACAUUAGACGCGUCUGUAUCUAAGAUGAAAUCCACAUCUGAUAAAGGAAAAGUCAAAACUGGAGAGUCCACAAGAUGUGCCUUCAACAAUUUAAAAGCUUCCUGACAUUCUUCAGACCAAUGGUACAGAGACCCAGGAAACUUCGAAGUUCGGUUUUAUUCUUCGGAAUUGGCCAAUCUUGUACUGCUGAAAUCUUCUCUGGAUCCGUCUUCAGUCCUGGUUCCGAAAUUAUAUGUCCAAGAUACCUGACUUCUCGACAGAAGAAAUUGCAUUUCUUCGGGCUGAGUAGAAGUUGUGCGUGACGCCGACGGGAAAACACUGUUCAUUCCCACGUCACAAAGAUGUGAACUCUCCGCGGGGAACGAGACCGACCAAGAUCGAGAGCGCCACCAGGGUAACUCAGGGUUAUGACUAAUUUGCGUAUCUGAAGGGCAAUAGCGUUGGGCUAACGACGGUAACACCGAGCGAUGCGGCUUCGAGGCUACCGAUCCCGUCCAACCCGGCGCCGGCUGCACGGACUGGCCAGACGAAACUCAAAUGGACAGGGGCUGGAUGUUCUUGGUAACAGCCCCUGGACUCCGCUACGACCUUCAAGGGGCAGGAGGCCAUUUAGUAUAGCGAAGUCAGCCGGGUUCUCGAGUGCACCGAGACCCGGCCCGCUCCAGAGUCUUCGAGCGAUGCCAGCACCGACACGCCACCAAAGUCGCCGAGGGACGAGACUGGACGACCGCCGAUGACGUGCGCGCCGAUAACGCGAUUUGAAUUUGGCCGCCAUAAGGUGCCGCGUGCCGCCGACCAUUGAGGUGAGGCUGGGGGGAAGCGCGUGAGCCAACGCGUGCGACGAGCUCGCGUAUCUCGUCCUAUUUCGUCAGCGACGCACGUGCGGAACGGUACGGUAAGCGCUUCCUCCUUUACCUCACGCUCGUGGAUAGGAUAUCGUAAAUUGUUUGAGUUUCCUGGUGGUUGCCGAGCACCCUGUCGGGCGAAAUAGCAUUGUUAGCGGAAAUCGCCUUUGCGUACGAUAUCGAGCGAACUAACGAACAUCUAGUCGCGAGUCCAUUCUAACGCGCACGUGUUUGAAUCGCUGUCGGUUAACGUUCUCGUCGAAAAGGUCGAGCCCACCGCGACCGCGUCAAGACUGUCCGAAUAUCGUUUCCAAUGUCGCUUUUGUGCGAAUCGCGACGGAAUUUGGGCUAUCGUGAACGAAAUUCGCACGUGUUUUCGAAACGUAGUUCUCGUGUCGGUCACCGGUCGUCCCGGUGACCUUCGACGCUACGACAGCUCGGCAGUGUACACCGUAUUUUGUAACAUUGUGACGUUCGCGUAUCGACCGUUCAAACCACGGACAUAUUUUUUCCUCGUAAUGAGUUGAAGAAAGAUGUAGUAUUUGUAUAUUCGAACGUCACCCUAUAUCAUAGACUGAGAAGCGUUUAGCAAGUAAGAGAGAACCUAAGCAAUAACAGUUACGGGUGCGGACCUAGCGAUCUACUUCUUGCUACAUUAUGAGCCCCUGAUACGACCACGGUACGAUCGCGGCUUAUUCACUAUCGUGAACCGCGGAUUCGGUUGCUUUAUCGCGACGCACGAGAAUAGUAAGUCCAAAAACUUAAAAUAUUCUAAUAAAUAGUAAUCGCGAGGGUGAAUUCAAUAUGGAUCAGGAUCCCGUCCAGACGCGAGUCGUUUAAGAGGGGCGUGAGACAAAAGGCAAGCAUCAUUUGAUUGAAACGGGCGACAGAUUUUCAAAUCUGAAAUCCGGGACGUGACAACAUCUUUCGCGUACAAUAUAUUCUAUAUUAUUUUAAACGAGUGCUGUGUUAAUCCGCCCCGUCUUGCCGUGAAGACGGCUUUCCCAGACUUCCUUUCCACGCCGAUGAUCCACGCCCCUCUCCGCGAUCCGGAUCGCUAGCCGUGGUAAAUUUCGCGAUGUUCGGCUUCUUACGCCGGUAUCUCCUGAUACCUGGCGCUCGGGUUUUCCCGUAAAGGCGUGAGAAGUCGGAAAACUCUUACUUUGCACGCUUCCCGACGCGGAUCGCGGACCGUGUCGGGAAAUCACGUUGCAGUACCCUAAAUUAGGUACAUUUCGAACGACACCACUCGCUUCCUGCAGAGGUGCCGACUGUGAAAGGGAAGGUAUCGCGAGUCCAGUAGAGACAGGAUUAUUUAUAGAAAGGGAACUAUUUAUGAGAGUGGACUCGCGAUCCUCACUACGGAUUGUCGUGGUUGACAACUUAUUCAUUAAGUUUUGAAAAUUUUACUAUAGCACCUGAUAAUGAUUUUCAAUCGUCCUAAGUCUCUUUUCUAGAUCAGCUUCCUUGGUUUAACUAGCAGCUUUCUCCGCAGCCUGCCUUUCUUUAACCCGCUUCCAUCUAGAUUCGAGAAUUUGUUGUUCCUGGAAUUGUGCCGAGAUUCCCCGUUGCAAAUUCUCGAAUAAAGACUCCAACGUCGGUGGGAUUUCUCCGCCGGCAGUAGACGAACGAGUGGACAUCCCACUUCUGACACCAGUGUUACGCCGGGGGGUUGAAACACGAGAAUCCAUGUUAAACUAUAUAUAACGUUUAUUAACAAACUUAAACUUUUAACGAUUUAACAAUAAUUCAACGAUAAACUUAGAGACUUGUAGUGAUACGUCUUCUCUCUUUGAGAUCUCGAAUCGCUCUCUUCUAUUUUAAAAGUUUGCCGCUUCCUGGCAACCGGAAGCGCGGGAACUCGUUUCCGCAACUUCACAUCGUCGCAACAUUUUCACACAGUCGCGACGAUGUAACUCGGAACUGUAGUGCGGCAUCUUCAUACUGUCGCAACAGUAUGUUAGACAAGACUUUAUUUCUGCGUCUCUCUUUCCGAUCGCAAACCCAACUGAAGGCCUUUUUGGCAACGGGCCUGUCAGUUGCCUCGACGUCGUCGUUGUUCCACCUCCUCCGGGGUGGGGGUGACGACAGACGAAGGCCAGGGUUGCCAGGCAUGGCCCCGUACGGCACCUCGACGUCGCUCGACGUCUAACACCCUCUUUUUGAAAGUCGUUUGUAUUCGUUUGUACCGCUUUUAAUUUUGUUUGUACCUCAAUAGUUUAAAUAAGUUGUUACAAGUAAGUUUGUUGCGAAUUACGUCGUGUUUGCUCACAUUGUAAUCAGAAAAAUGUCAGGAAUAUGAUUGUAAAAGUUUUACAACAAAAAAGUUAAUAAUAUAAAAGUUUCAUCGUUACAUUAUAUUGUUUCACCGGCAUACCUCGGCGUUUUCGCUCCGUUCUCUUCUUUACUCGUCCUUGUCUACGUUCGAGACUCGGCGGCAAACAUCAAAGAAUAUACGAAACUCGGCGUUCGAACUCCAGGACACCCCAAGGAGUGUACCCUCCAGUGGGGAUGGUUUCAGGUCAUUUAGGGAACACGUGCCGAAUAGUAGUCAGUUGGAAUUUACACCUUGUAACGCUCUCUUCGAAUGAAUAUUUCAAAUAUUCCGUCGAAGAGUGAAUAAAAGGUUCUUGCUAGAAUUCCGACAUUAUUUUCAUACCUUUUAGUUUUUUUGUAUUUCAGGAAUAAAAAAGAGUCCAAUUCUGCUCUAUGCGAAUUAUUAUAAAAACAAAAGGACAUGUUCUGCUGUAAGCGAAUCAACAAACAGUCUAAUUCUGCUGUAAGCGAUGUUCCCCCGGCCCUGCUGAAUGGUAUCCCUUUUCAUCGACCUCGCAUUGCGCAUAGCGAGAUCGAUAAACUCUUAGGAAUGCGCUCAACAAACGAUUCGGAAAUCGUUCCUCGGGAACCGAAUCGUGCGAACUGCGAAUCAGCGAAAUAGGCGUCUGCGUUCAACGCCAACACGUCCGUUGAACUUGGGACCCCUCCCGAAUUCAACGGAUGCCGAAAUGAAUGUUCUUGAACCGCGGCUCGUGCCAUGCAAGGAUCAGCUAAUAUAUAAACCCGCGGACACGCCCCACGGCGCUCUUAUUCCGUUCUUAGUACAUUCUCACCUUGGUCAUUACCGAAAUCUUGUAGUCGCGGACAGGUUAACUACACGCGUUGUCGUUACCUACGAAAGUCCGACGUAUAAUCGGUUAAAACCACAUCAAAUCUUUAUUGUUAUUCGAAUACACCCUCAGCGUCGCGCUUUGGUUGUCAAUUACUAAAUUUUGUAGUCGCGGAUAGGUAAAUUGUACGCGUUCGCGUCAUUACCAAGGAAAAUCCGACGUUCAAUUGGUAAAGUUCCGUGUCGCGAGUGUUCGAAGCUAACAAGCAGAUCCUCGCACAGCAGAGCCCGGGACGAGACCUGCCGACCACACCGCUAUUCUAAGUACAACAACUGAUAUUGUUAAAGAACCACUUUUAUAUUUAUAUUAAUAUCAUUGAUGUAUUUGUAAUCCAAAACUGAUUUUCAUAAUU